UACGGAGGGGGCUAGCGUUGUUCGGAAUUACUGGGCGUAAAGCGCGCGUAGGCGGCUUUGUAAGUUAGAGGUGAAAGCCCGGAGCUCAACUCCGGAACUGCCUUUAAGACUGCAUCGCUAGAAUUGUGGAGAGGUAAGUGGAAUUCCGAGUGUAGAGGUGAAAUUCGUAGAUAUUCGGCGGAACACCAGUGGCGAAGGCGACUCACUGGCCCGAUACUGACGCUGAGGCGCGAAAGCGUGGGGAGCAAACAGG
rnacentral:rRNA from 1 species